rnacentral:lncRNA from 1 species
GCGAUAGAGAGAAGAAAGAAAUGAGAGAGAAAAUAAAAGGAAAAGAGAGAGAGUGAUAGAAGAGUAGGAGGUAAAAAGAAAUAGACAGAAAGAAUUGAAAGGAAAGGAGUCAUAAAAGAGUAGGAGGUAAAGAGAACGACAUAGAAAGAGUGAUAGAAGAGUAGGAGGUAAAGUGAAAUGUAGAGCUGAAACAGAAUGAUAGUGGUGGUGGAGGAGGCGGCGGGAAUAGAACAGGAAAAGCUAAUUUGUUGACGGUAUCGUAGUAAAAGAGAAGAGAGAGAGAGAGAGGAAAGUAAAAAGCAAAGCUGAAAAGUGUGGUUGCAGUAGCAGUCGGGGUAGUUGAGUAUACUGCGAUCUCCUGUUUGGUUAGAGAUAAAUAACAGAGAGAGAGAAAAAGUGGGAGAGAAAGACAGAGUUUUUUCCAUCCAGGUCUUCCAAGUGACAUGGUGGCGGUUGCAAGACAAACCAGAGUAAUUGUGACGACGACGGCCAAGCAGGCAAAACAGUGAGAGGGAGGAUAGUAGUUGUGACUAUUUACAAUAUAUAUAUAUAUAUAUAUGUGUGUGUAUAUAUAUAACAACAACAAUAUAUAUAUUCGUAUAUAUUAUAUAUAACAAUAACAAUAAGCGAUUGCACGACUAAACUAUACACGGCUUAUAAUACUACAUUUUCCCCUCUAACGACUUAUUACACACUUUUGGUGUAAGCAUGCAACUGUAAGCGGAUCAUAUAAGCUUUGUAUGUUUUCCUUUUUUUUUAAAGGAUUAUUUUCUUUACUGGAGCUGUUUGGGGACCUGUGUCACGGCAGUGAGGGAUACCACCACCAUCACCAGCAACAUUAGCACCAAUACCACAAUUUGGGGGUACCACUAUUACCACCAACACUUCACAACAACAUCUAACUAAACAACAUUGCUGAAAAGCAAACGUUAUCAUCAAAGAAAUCAAUAUAUAUACAUAUAUACAUACAUACAUUCACACACAGACGUAUAUAUAAAUAAUGCUAAAGGUGUAUAUUGCAUUCUAUAUUUAAGUGUUGCAUGUAAAUUAUAUAUCUAUAGCUACAUAUAGUAUACACAUCCACACAUACUAUACGUACGUGCACAGACACACCGUUCAGCAAGUACCGGCAACAGAUAACUAGAUAGAUCGCUUGUUUUAAAAGAAAAAAAAAUCCUUGCAAGGAUUCAAAAGGAAAAAAAUAAUUGCGUUAACAACAACAACAACAGUAAUAAUAGUCGUAGUAGUAGUGGUGAUGUAGCUUUAUAUUGGUGUCAUCUGUGGAGAAAAAAAAAGAAAAAGAAAAACGUCAACGAUUUGCAUUUGUAUUUAUUGAACUGGAACCGAUAGUAUUACAAGCAUAUGUGUUCUGCGUGAAAAGAAAGAAAAAAGCUGAGAGAUCAAAAACAAGCUUUCAGUGUGUCUGAAAUUAUUAUUAUUAUUAUUAUUAUUGAAUGAGAGAGCAGUGCAUGCCAUCUGAGUUCUUUUAAAAUAAUAAUAAUAAUUAUAGUUUAGAAAGAGGUUUGUGUGUUACAGAAGGAAGGAAGGAACCAGUUGAAUCGGGGGACGAAUCCUAACAAAGACGGAGAAAGCCGAACAUUGCUUUUAUUUUAUUUCUUACUCAGCUUUUUGAAUCUUUUUUUUUCAAAACCCAAAUUUCAAGGAUGUGAAUGGAGGAAAUUUAAUAAUAUAAUGAUCCAAACAUAAAUUCUAUCAACAGUAGAAAAAAAUACUCAAUAAUUUUUGCAUCGAAAGAAACAAUUGAAAGUAAGCAGACGACAAUAAUUUUGUCUGGGGAUGGCGACACUAUGAGGGUAUCGUUCAGGAAAGUUGUUUACUCUAUUCUUGGUGCUUACUUCCUACUUACGUGUUACACGGGAUAUUUACUUGUGAGGAGGAGACUGGCACGAAGUCGAGAAGAUUACGCCAGGGUUCAACAGUUGGCAGGUAGGCACACACAUAUCUACUAAUAUAUAUCUAUACACAACACAAUGUCCAUCUUUAUACAUGCGUCUCUUUAUAAAUAUCUGUUGUAUUAAACAGUAAUUUUCAUUGAAAUAAAAUCCCGGUACGUUGAGUGGAUUAGCCUUACAUCAUUAGGUCUUAUUUUAAUCAAUGCCUUUCUUAGCUUUCAUGGUGAUCCUUAACAUUUUUGCCUCCAAACAAGGAUAAAGUUUGUUGCUGAACUGUGGCAAGUAAAAACCUGCACCACACACACACACAUAUAAUAUAAUACAAUGUAAUAUAAUAUAUAUAUAUAUCUAUGUAUGUAUAUAUAUGUGUAUGUAUAUAUUUUUACAACCAUCCAGCAUUCUGAACAUCUUUUUUCUUUCAUAUAUAUUAAAUCUGUACAUCACCCCCAAUACUUCUAACAUAUAUGUGUAUAUAUAUGUAUUUAUAUAUAUAUCUAUAUAUGUGUAUAUAUAUAUCUAUAUAUGUAUAUAUAUAUAUAUCUAUGUAUAUAAAUAUAUAUAUAUAUACAUAUAUACAUAUAUAUAUA